GUGGCAGCCGCCGAGGUCAACUCAUCCUCCAAAGUGCCCAUCGUCGUCGGGGCGGUCCCCUGCGCUGCCCGCUCACCUUGGUUGACAGGCCCCAGUUCCAGUUGAAGAAAAAUGGCCGCUGUUGAAGAUGCUGAGGCCAGCACCAAACCUCACUGUCGCCCUCCCUCCAUCUUGUUCCGGCCAGCUUCCCUCAAUUACUGUCACAGGCGGCCCACAACAUUGCAGGGGGGGCGAAGCCGAGCGGGGGGGAGAAACGACGCACGUGAUGAGAAGAGGAGACAGCCGUGACAUCGUAAGAAUUGGAAUUUACAGCUGAUAUCCCAGCAGCAGGUGCUUGCUGGGAGCAGAGGGACCUUAAUAAACGCGCCGCACGCCACCUGCAGCUGCACACGCAUGAAGACAAGACAAGGGUGGUGAUUAGCGGCAUCAGCACACGCAGCAUUUGACUGCUACACACCGAAUGGAUUCCGGGGACGGCGUCACCUCCAAAGUUGAACGCAAUCCGUUCGGCGACGCCGUUUGAUUUUUCGGAGGCAAUUUUCCUCAUGGGAGGUCAUGGAAGGUGAAUUCAUUUCUUAAAAGAAAAAAAAGUCAUCAAAUCUGUAUGUACUGUAGUGAUGCAUGCCAAAUUUGUAAAUGUCAUCAUAAAUGGAACGAGAAGUUAACCGCUGAGUGAUCAAACUGAAAUAAAGUAAAACUACUUCCACUUCAAAGUGGCACAAUGGUGAGUGAGCGCGAUAAAACGAGACAUGACACCUUCACAAAUUCAUUCGCAGAAAUAACGCCAUCAAAAUGUCUGUCUGCUGUUGUGUGACUGCAAAAUGACUGCCAUACUUCAGAACACAAGAUCCCUCUGCUGUAUUGCAACAACGUCAUCAUUCUCCCUCCACUGGCAUCAACAAGUGGGUGAAGUAAAAAUGGAUAC